GAUGAACGCUGGCGGCGUGCCUAAUACAUGCAAGUCGAGCGAACAGACGAGGAGCUUGCUCCUCUGACGUUAGCGGCGGACGGGUGAGUAACACGUGGAUAACCUACCUAUAAGACUGGGAUAACUUCGGGAAACCGGAGCUAAUACCGGAUAAUAUAUUGAACCGCAUGGUUCAAUAGUGAAAGACGGUUUUGCUGUCACUUAUAGAUGGAUCCGCGCCGCAUUAGCUAGUUGGUAAGGUAACGGCUUACCAAGGCGACGAUGCGUAGCCGACCUGAGAGGGUGAUCGGCCACACUGGAACUGAGACACGGUCCAGACUCCGACGGGAGGCAGCAGUAGGGAAUCUUCCGCAAUGGGCGAAAGCCUGACGGAGCAACGCCGCGUGAGUGAUGAAGGUCUUCGGAUCGUAAAACGCUGUUAUUAGGGAAGAACAAAUGUGUAAGUAACGAUGCACGUCUGGACGGUACCUAAUCAGAAAGCCACGGCUAACUACGU
rnacentral:rRNA from 1 species